AUUGAACGCUGGCGGCAGGCCUAACACAUGCAAGUCGAGCGAGCGGCGGACGGGUGAGUAAUGUAUGGGGACUGCCCGAUAGAGGGGGAUAACUACUGGAAACGGUGGCUAAUACCGCAUACUAUCGGAUAACCCAUAUGGGAUUAGCUAGUAGGUGGGGUAAAGGCUCACCUAGGCGACGAUCUCUAGCUGGUCUGAGAGGAUGAUGGCAACAACUGGGACUGAGACACGGCCCUGACUCUCGGGGAGGCAGCAGUGGGGAAGAUUGCACAAGGGGCGCAAGCCUGAUGCAGCAAUGCGUCGGGUAUGAAGAGGGCCUUAGGGUUGUAAAGUACGUUCAGCGGGGAGGCGUUACCCGAAUAAGAAGCACCGGCUAACUCCGUGCCAGCAGCCGCGGUAAUAC
rnacentral:rRNA from 1 species